rnacentral:rRNA from 1 species
GAUGAACGCUGGCGGCGUGCCUAAUACAUGCAAGUCGAGCGAACAGACGAGGAGCUUGCUCCUCUGACGUUAGCGGCGGACGGGUGAGUAACACGUGGAUAACCUACCUAUAAGACUGGGAUAACUUCGGGAAACCGGAGCUAAUACCGGAUAAUAUAUUGAACCGCAUGGUUCAAUAGUGAAAGACGGUUUUGCUGUCACUUAUAGAUGGAUCCGCGCCGCAUUAGCUAGUUGGUAAGGUAACGGCUUACCAAGGCAACGAUGCGUAGCCGACCUGAGAGGGUGGACGGCCACAGUGGAGGGAGGCCACGGUCGAGACUCCGAGGGGGGGCAGAAGUGGGAAUGAUCCAGCAAGGGGGAAAAGCGUGACGGGGGAGCACGGCGGAGGUAAGGAAGGCGUUCGGAUGAUAAAACUUUUUUAUUUGGAAAAAACAAAUGGGAAAGAAAAUGUCCCCGUCUUGACGGUACUUAAAGAAAAAGCCCCGGCUAACUACGUG